rnacentral:rRNA from 1 species
CUGCGAAAGCCGGAUUAAUACCGCAUACGCUCUGCGGAGGAAAGCGGGGGAUCCUUCGGGACCUCGCGCUACAGGGGCGGCCGAUGGCGGAUUAGCUAGUUGGUGGGGUAAAGGCCUACCAAGGCGACGAUCCGUAGCUGGUCUGAGAGGACGACCAGCCACACUGGGACUGAGACACGGCCCAGACUCCUACGGGAGGCAGCAGUGGGGAAUUUUGGACAAUGGGGGCAACCCUGAUCCAGCAAUGCCGCGUGUGUGAAGAAGGCCUUCGGGUUGUAAAGCACUUUUGUCCGGAAAGAAAUCCUCUGGGUUAAUACCUCGGGGGGAUGACGGUACCGGAAGAAUAAGCACCGGCUAACUACGUGCCAGCAGCCGCGGUAAUACGUAGGGUGCGAGCGUUAAUCGGAAUUACUGGGCGUAAAGCGUGCGCAGGCGGUUCGCUAAGACCGAUGUGAAAUCCCCGGGCUUAACCUGGGAACUGCAUUGGUGACUGGCGAGCUAGAGUAUGGCA